CCCUUAGAUGUCCUGGGCCGCACGCGCGCUACACUGAGUGUCUGAGAUACGAGUCUGCCUGGUCCGGCAAGGUCUAGGUAAUCGCUAAAAGACACAUCAUGCUUGGGAUAGAUUAUUGCAAAUAUUAAUCUUGAACGAGGAAUUCCUAGUAAGCGCGAGUCAUCAGCUCGUGCUGAUUACGUCCCUGCCCUUUGUACACACCGCCCGUCGCUCCUACCGAUUGAGUGCUCAGGUGAAUAAUUCGGACUGCAGCAAUGUUUGGAUCCCGAACGUUGCAGCGGAAAGUUUAGUGAACCUUAUCACUUAGAGGAAGGAGAAGUCGUAACA
rnacentral:rRNA from 1 species